UAAUUCGUGCAUUUUGCUUAGCACAGUAGGAGAGUGGAGGUGUGCUAUUCAUCAAAGGUUCCCAGAGUUCAUCUCCACACUUUUUUUUACACAAAUCCGUGGGCUCUACCAGCUAGUAUAGCUAAGGAUCAGCACAAAAGUAGAGAGAUAGACAAUAAAGGACAGCAACAUCAGAGACAGACAAUGGAGGGCAGCAACAGAGACAAUGGAACAAAGCAACAGACAACUGAGGUGAGCAACAGAGACAGACAAUGAAGUCACAUCACAGAUGUAGGAAGUUUGAGUAACACUUACAUUUAUAUCAAAUGUAUGUUAACAGUGGGGAGCAACAGACGAACAAAUAAGGACAGCAACAACAGAUUCACAACAAACUUAUAAUAAAUAAAAUAUGUCUAAAUUAAAAGGUUUGAAGUGUGUUCGUGUAUUUAGGGGGCAUUGGAGUAGAGAGCCAAAUGAAGUCCACUUUUGGGGGAAAAAGAACCCCCCCCCCCCC